rnacentral:rRNA from 1 species
GACAGAGGGUGCAAACGUUGUUCGGAAUUACUGGGCGUAAAGCGCGCGUAGGCGGCUUUGUAAGUUAGAGGUGAAAGCCCGGGGCUCAACCCCGGAACUGCCUUUAAAACUGCAUCGCUUGAAUCCGGGAGAGGUGAGUGGAAUUCCGAGUGUAGAGGUGAAAUUCGUAGAUAUUCGGAAGAACACCAAUGGCGAAGGCGGCUCACUGGACCGGCAUUGACGCUGAGGUGCGAAAGCGUGGGGAGCAAACAGG